rnacentral:rRNA from 1 species
UACAGAGGGUGCAAGCGUUAAUCGGAAUUACUGGGCGUAAAGCGUGCGUAGACGGUUACAUAAGUCGGGUGUGAAAGCCCCGGGCUCAACCUGGGAAUUGCAUUCGAGACUGCGUAGCUAGGGUGCGGAAGAGGGAAGCGGAAUUUCCGGUGUAGCGGUGAAAUGCGUAGAUAUCGGAAGAACACCAGUGGCGAAGGCGGCCCGCUGGGCAGUGGCUGACGCUGAGGCGCGACAGCGUGGGGAGCAAACAGG